GGGCGGAUAGCGUAGCGGUAGCGCAUCUCGUUUACACCGAGAGGGUCGGGGGUUCGAAUCCCUCUUCGCCCACCA
rnacentral:tRNA from 1 species